UACGUAGGGGGCAAGCGUUGUCCGGAAUUAUUGGGCGUAAAGCGCGCGCAGGCGGUCGUUUAAGUCUGGAGUUUAAACCUAGGGCUCAACCUUGGGUCGCUCUGGAAACUGGGGGACUGGAGUGUAGGAGAGGAAAGUGGAAUUCCACGUGUAGCGGUGAAAUGCGUAGAGAUGUGGAGGAACACCAGUGGCGAAGGCGACUUUCUGGCCUAUAACUGACGCUGAGGCGCGAAAGCGUGGGGAGCAAACAGG
rnacentral:rRNA from 1 species